GGAGUCUGGGCCGUGUCUCAGUCCCAAUGUGGCCGUUCAUCCUCUCAGACCGGCUACUGAUCGUCACCUUGGUGGGCCGUCACCUCACCAACAAGUUAAUCCGACGCGGGCCCAUCCUCCACCGAUAAAUCUUUCCACACUCUAUCAUGCGAUAACGUGUGCAUAUGCGGUAUUAACAGCCGUUUCCAGCUGUUAUCCCCCUGUGCAGGGCAGAUUACCCACGUGUUACUCACCCAUCCGCCGCUAAGUCAUAAAAAUCAUCCGAAGAAUCUCCUUAUGACUCCGCUCGACUUGCAUGUGUUAGGCACGCCGCCAGCGUUCAUC
rnacentral:rRNA from 1 species